GAUGAACGCUGGCGGCGUGCCUAAUACAUGCAAGUUGAGCGAACGGACGAGAAGCUUGCUUCUCUGAUGUUAGCGGCGGACGGGUGAGUAACACGUGGAUAACCUACCUAUAAGACUGGGAUAACUUCGGGAAACCGGAGCUAAUACCGGAUAAUAUUUUGAACCGCAUGGUUCAAAAGUAAAAGACGGUCUUGCUGUCACUUAUAGAUGGAUCCGCGCUGCAUUAGCUAGUUGGUAAGGUAACGGCUUACCAAGGCAACGAUGCAUAGCCGACCUGAGAGGGUGAUCGGCCACACUGGAACUGAGACACGGUCCAGACUCCUACGGGAGGCAGCAGUAGGGAAUCUUCCGCAAUGGGCGAAAGCCUGACGGAGCAACGCCGCGUGAGUGAUGAAGGUCUUCGGAUCGUAAAACUCUGUUAUUAGGGAAGAACAUAUGUGUAAGUAACUGUGCACAUCUUGACGGUACCUAAUCAGAGAGCCACGGCUAACUACGUG
rnacentral:rRNA from 1 species